UACGGAGGGAGCUAGCGUUGUUCGGAAUUACUGGGCGUAAAGCGUGCGUAGGCGGUGUCUUAAGUUUGUUGUGAAAUCUCCCGGCUUAACCGGGAGGGUGCGGCGAAUACUGAGAUGCUGGAGUGCCGGAGAGGUAAGCGGAAUUCCUGGUGUAGGCGGUGAAAUGCGUAGAUAUCAGGAGGAACACCUGCGGUGUAGACGGCUUACUGGACGGUAACUGACGCUGAGGCACGAAAGCGUGGGUAGCAAACAGG
rnacentral:rRNA from 1 species